rnacentral:tRNA from 1 species
GGGCCGGUAGCUCAGUGGCAGAGCACGGGACUUUUAAUCCCUUGGUCGUGGGUUCGAAUCCCACCCGGCUCGCCA